UACGGAGGGUGCAAGCGUUGCUCGGAAUUACUGGGCGUAAAGGGCGUGUAGGCGGUUUCGUAUGUCUGGCGUGAAAGCCCCGGGCUCACCUCGGGAAGUGCGUCGGAAACUGCGAGACUAGAGUCCCGGAGAGGGAGGUGGAAUUCCAGGUGUAGCGGUGAAAUGCGUAGAUAUCAGGAGGAACACCGGUGGCGAAGGCGGCUAUCUGGACAGAGUCUGACGCUGAGGCGCGAAAGCUAGGGGAGCAAACAGG
rnacentral:rRNA from 1 species